rnacentral:rRNA from 2 species
UGGGGAAUAUUGGGCAAUGGGCGCAAGCCUGACCCAGCAACGCCGCGUGAAGGAUGAAGGUUUUCGGAUUGUAAACUUCUUUAGUCAGGGACGAAAGCAAUGACGGUACCUGAAGAAUAAGCCACGGCUAACUACGUGCCAGCAGCCGCGGUAAUACGUAGGUGGCAAGCGUUAUCCGGAUUUACUGGGUGUAAAGGGCGUGUAGGCGGCUUUUUAAGUUGGAUGUGAAACCCUGUGGCUUAACUGCAGGCUUGCAUCCAAAACUGGAGAGCUUGAGUGAUAGAGGGGAAAGUGGAAUUCCUAGUGUAGCGGUAAAAUGCGUAGAUAUUAGGAGGAACACCGGUGGCGAAGGCGACUUUCUGGCUAUCAACUGACGCUGAGGCGCGAAAGCGUGGGGAGCAAACAGG